rnacentral:sRNA from 20 species
AUGCACGCACGUCCACUCCGGCUCCCGUGCGCCGUCCACAUCGCCUGACCACUGCCCGGUGGGCUGUGCUAGCC